CGCUCCCGCUCCGUCCGUGGCAGCUGCUCCUCCGUUCCCGGUUUCUUCGUUUCUCAGCGCUACCGCCGGCCCCUGCGCCGCAGAUUAGCAUAGCCCCGCCCCUCCCUGUUGGCCGGGGCAACGAGAGAGAGAGAAGCUGCAGCUUGCUGGCCGCAAAGCGGUCCUGUGUGUGGACUUAUCUCCAGGAAGAUGGCCAUCUCAGGAGGUGCUGCACGACUCUUAGCCAAGCGCCCAGGAAUGCCACGUUGGCAGAAAAAGAAGGAUAAAAGAGAAAGCGAAAACCAGGAGGUUUGGAGGUUUUUCUGGCAACAGAUUCCUCAUGAAGAAGAAGAGGUUUCUUUUCCCACUAAAUCUGAGCCAAGGGAAGUAAGGCUUGCAGCGGUCAGCCUUGCCCCCAGGCCACCUGGCCCAAAGCUCGGUGGGACUGGAAGGGUCUCGUUGCCCUUAAAAACCGGUAGGCGGAAUAUUGACCAUAAAUGUAAUUGUCUCUGGACACUGGCUGGCACAAGGGUGUCCACGAGAUCCGAGGAAUGGAUUACACACAGCCAGGUUAGAGGAGUUAGUUAACUGGUGGCCAGAACAGAAGCUCAAGGAUCUCGAGGAAAGCACAAGCCCAGGUCCGAGGGCCUCGCAGGGAACCUGAGCGGCUCUCCAAGCCAAAAACCCGAUGUCUUCGCCCCUCCAAAACACUCCUGUGGACCUUGACUGAACGCAGAAAGGACUCUAAUGUUUUGUGACAGAAGUAUUGAGAAUUAGAUCAUGCUAUAAUGCUGAAUGUA